rnacentral:lncRNA from 1 species
CCGCUGUUUAAGCCACUCCUAAAUCAAUUUUCGUAUGGGCAAAACAUGCCAGGGACCCUAUAUGGCAAGAUUAAUAUCUUUUCUUGAUUUCUUUUGUUGCUGCUCUGCCACAAUCUCCUGAUUAAGGAAGUACCUUGCCAAGCUGGCAUGUCCUGGCCGUUGUAGGUAAGAGAAUUGACUUCUGAUGAACUUUCUUCUUCUUAUCCUCUUUCAGUUAGAUAGUUAUAUUGUGAAACACUUGACAACGAAGCUCUCUGUCAACUAUUAGAGUAUUGACGGUUUCUGUCAUAAUCUGAGUGUUUUUGCGGGCAAUUGUUUUUUAAAAGCAAUGGCAUGUGACAACUACUAAAGCAUUGAGUGUCAUUGCUGUUGCACUUUCUAUAAGUAUGGGGAUUGAUUUUCUGUCAAUUCUGCGUUACAACUUACGACUGACAACUACUAAAUUUCAAUGCCCUUUUUGACAAUUUUAGGUUAAAUAGAAUGGCGUGUGAAAUAAUUGGUGCUAUCAACUAGGACUAAUCAUGUCAUUGUUGGGUAAUGUAGCAGUUAUGCUCUGCAUUGAUAUUAAAGUCAACACAAAGGAACUCUCACAUAUGUUUUCUUUGUUUCCAACUGGGAAAUAAUGUGUGCGUACAUACCCACUGGAAUGUUACCCGCGCUCCAUACUCGGCUCCGGUGAUAUAGUUUAACGGCAAGACACACUUAUCUAACAAAGUGCUCACAACUUCCCAGCAAAUGCUGCUCAUUGAGUGCCUCCUCCAUUCAAUGAGGAAAAGUUAACUGCUUGAGAAAAAGAAGCUGUGAGUUCCCCACAUCUACUGAACAUCGUUUUGGUUACUUCGUUUCUCUUCCUGCAGUUUUUGCAUGGGCUGCGGAUGUGAUGCUUUGUAUGGGAACAAGACUGAUAUGAUUUGGGUUUGCUGCAUGUACAUUCGACUUAGUUGUACUCGGGAAUGUUUAAGAAAGUAAUUUGCAACAACGUGGAUGUCAGAUUUAUCAACUACUGUCACUCUUGGUUUUGAAGGAUUUGAUUAUGGGAGUUUUAGUAUGCCCUGACCAAGUACAAUAGAUGUAGACACCAUUGUCGCUUCCUUAUUUGUAUGUGAUUCAGAUAUUUUAAAACCUUAUUUGUACCAUUGAAUUAUGUUUUUUUUUCUGUGGGAAUACCAUUGAAUUAUGUUGUUAUGUAGGUUGCCCGAUAUGUUCAUCGAUGCUGUGGACAACGAUUUUUAUUAUCGUUUCCCAUAUUUAUCUAAUUAGGUUUGCAAUUACACUUUGUUUUAUUUAUCAUCUGUAUCUAGAAAAUCAGAUUGUGAAGCUUAUAAUUUAUUAGUUUUUCUGUGAUUUCCCUUUAUUUUGCUGAUAGUCCACUACUCAGGAUUAUAAGAGCCACCAUCUUUGUGAGCAUUUUAACUUCAGGUGUUCCAAGGUGUUAGUAUGGUUCUACAGAGAAAGCUGCACAACAUGCCUAAUUUUGUACUUACCUUGCAGUUCUGUAGAUCUACUACAAUUAUAUGAUGUCCUCAAAUUAGACCUUUGCAAGCAUCACAAUAUAUCAGUCUAUAUAUGUAGCGCACCUUUGGUUCAAUCAUACAUUCAUAGUAGUUUGAUGUACUACGUUUUGGUUGGCAGAGAGGAUUCUGAUGGUGACGCAUGACUCACUGUAUUUUGUUUUGUUUUCAG